UUGGCGAUGCCGUACCGACGCUAAAGACUUAAGUCAAGAUCUGCUACCAGAUCUAGUGGUCUCGCUUCACAGCAGGAUGAGCCAUAUCCUGAAAAAGUUGCGGUUCCUAAAGAAGAUGGAGAGAAAUGAGUCCAAUCCACAGAUCUAUCGGCGGUGAAACCAGAAAGCCCAUUUCUCUGGUUCCUGUCCUUCCAGUUCCCAACCCUCAGCCAAUCAGUGAACCACGGAAGUCUUUCCUCUGCUUGUGAAGUCUUCCCCAGCCUCAAAGAAGGUUCAGUCCCCAGCGCUGGGGCUGCCCGGUUUGACACACAGAACAACUGUCAGGAUCCCUCCGGGGGCUCUUCAGAUGGAGAGGAAGCAUGGCAUGAAAGAGACCGCUCCCUUGCCAAGGCUGUAUGAGAGGGGAAGGGCUCAGAAGAGCAACCUAGUCCAAGGGAAAGACCUUCUCCAGAUGCCGUCCCGCCUUUACAUCCAGAACUCUCCAACAAAGGCUUCCGAAAUUUGUGGCAGAGCAAGAAGCCACUACGAGGCCAAUCUGUCUUGGACUUGAUGGACAAAAGAGAAAUAUUAGAGAACCUGGACCUUCUUCGUAAAGAGCUAAAGAGAAGAAAGAGAAAAAGCCCCAAAACAAGAAGGGGAAUUAUGAGAAAUGGGAAAAAGAUUUUUUUUUUCAAUUUCGGGGCCGGCCAUAUUUUAUGGCAUCGAAAACAUAUCGAAAAGGGCUAAGACAAAAAAGCUGCAAAGAUCAAAAGAAAGCACUUGCCAG